CAGGACAUUGGCUGCUUGCUCAUCCAGAUCCAUGUCACCCCCUGCUUCUGCUCCAGGAGGCUCACCUGGAGAGCUGACAUCAACAGGCUCCCAAGCUCUGUGGCUUCCAUGAUGGUUUGGCCACUGCAGUGCCAAACACACGCUGGAUUUUGAAGACUUUGUAUGAAAAGAAAGAACAUAAAUAACCUCAGUCAUUUUUAUAUUGACAUGUUAAAAUCGUGUUUCUAGGUAUGUAGGAUAUAUUACUAAAAUCAACUUCACCUGUUUCUUUUUACCGUGUUUAGGUGGCUACUAGACAUUUAAAAUGACCUAUGGGGCUUGUAUUCACGGCUUAUGUUUUAUUUCUAAGGUACAGGGCUGCCCUAGGGCUAGAUAUGGUGUGAGUGGUUCUGAGAACCCCAGUCUCCUACACAGUGUGGGUGUUUAAUACCCAUGUAAAGGAAAUACCUGUACUUGGAAUGUGAAAGCCAUGUUGGAGCUGAAGCUAGAAGGGAACUUGGCCACCACCAUUUCCAGAUGGGAAAAUCCAACCAUGUUUGUAAACAUUUAUGGGAUUGCACAUGUUUUCAGAAUAACUUUAAAAUUAUCUUCUUCUUCUUCUUUUUUUUUUCCAGAUGGGAAAAUCCAACCAUGUUUGUAAACAUUUAUGGGAUUGCACAUGUUUUCAGAAUAACUUUAAAAUUAUCUUCUUCUUCUUCUUUUUUUUUUUCUUUCUGGUCUUUCUUCUGCAAGUCAGACUGAAACACCUAGAGAUAAACUAAAUAUAUUAAAGCUCAACUAGAUUGUUGACAUCCAGUAUUAGGACACAAUGAGGCAUUAAAGCUUGGCAGGACUUAUUGCUCAUCCUUGUAAAAGCUCAUUGCUUUAUAGCAGCAGAACCUAACAAACUCUUCACCAGUGGACAGAAAAGGCUGGGAUUGGCACUUCAUAAACAGAAAACCACGUCCAGCCCUCAGUAUUUAUCCAGCUGGCAUACAUACAGCAAUUCCACCCAGGCACCCAGAGUCAGAAACCGCCAGAUCGCCCUGGAAAGGUUAUAAAGACUUCACUUCCACGUCAGAUGGAGCGCGGGAAGGCAGGCGGGCCAAGUUCCCACACUGGGCAGCAGGAGCCCCCCGCACCCCGGCCCCGCGGCCGCGGCCAGCCCUGGGCAGCACACACCGGGCGCCGCGAAAGCCGCCCGCAUGGCCUGCAAGGGUGAGGGUGAGGCGGCCAGGCUACCGCCCACAUUGCAGGGCAUCCUGCUGAGACCAGGAAACCAAGAAAUCAGGAACAAAUCGG
rnacentral:lncRNA from 1 species